rnacentral:rRNA from 1 species
CGUGGAGACAGGUGGUGCAUGGCUGUCGUCAGCUCGUGUCGUGAGAUGUUGGGUUAAGUCCCGCAACGAGCGCAACCCUCACCCCUAGUUGCCACCGGGUUAAGCCGAGCACUCAAGGGGAACUGCCAGCGUCAAGCUGGAGGAAGGCGGGGAUGACGUCAAGUCAUCAUGCCCCUUACGCCCUGGGCUACACACGUGCUACAAUGGCCAGUACAAAGGACGCGAGACUGCGAAGUGGAGCUAAUCCCAAAAAGCUGGUCUAAGUUCAGAUUGCAGUCUGCAACUCGACUGCAUGAAGGAGGAAUCGCUAGUAAUCGCGUAUCAGCCCGGCGCGGUGAAUACGUUCCCGGGCCUUGUACACACCGCCCGUCACACCACGAAAGCUGUCUGUACUCGAAGUCGCUGAG